GUAUGUAUAUAUACAUAUCAUCCCCCAGAUAUAGAAUAGCAUAACUUGGGGUGUUAGAGCCCCAAGAGAACUUAGAACAAUCAUCUCCAGUCCUUCACUUUAAGAUGAAUAAAGUGUCUCCAAAAGGUUAAAUAUCUUAACCUUCCAAAAUGGUUAAAUGGGAAGAACCAGAGGUUUACCUUAGAUCCCCUAAUUAUUGGCCCAGUGCUUUUUCACCACACCACAGUGCUGUGGUUUGUAGAUAGCAGAACUGUGAACAAACAAUCUCUCCAUGUUUUAUAGGUAGCGCUUAUCAGUGGAUAGCCUGUGCCUACACAGUUUGGUCAUUCCUUUUUCCAAAGGAAUUGCUAGUAUUCUCAUUAGUUUGGAGAUUAAUGGACUGUUUCCAACAAUCUUUUUACUUACAGUCUGAUGAAAUACAGUCUUUUGCUGAGAUAUUACCCCAUUCUAAUGAGAUUAUUGAAAUAUAUUCCUUAUAGAAUUAUAUCUCCUCAAGGUCAUUAACUAUCUUUCAUUCUAUCUUCAGUGUUUAACAGUGUUUUGUAUAGUGGGCGGUUAAUAACUAUGUGUCUUAUGAAUUGAUUUAUGAAGACCGCUAUGUGGGAUUUAAGUUGGAUGAAUUAGAAAAAAUGAAUUGACUCUUAGAAAUCUGCUAAUUCCUGUGGAUUCUUGCUCCAGUAUUCUGUGUUGAUUGGUGGAUUGUGGCCACCUACAAAAACAGCUCAACAUUCGGUCAUCUCUUUAGGAAUUAAUGCUGUCACUCAUCAGUAACCUAUCAUCAUCUAUAGGUUAUUGGUGUUGCUACGGAACUAUGCCAAGGUUUCCCUAAGCACUGCUAUAUCAGUCAACCCCACUU